AGUGAACGCUGGCGGUAUGCCUAACACAUGCAAGUCGAACGGCAGCACAGUAAGCUCUCGUCUCUACUGUUGGCGACUGGCGGACGGGUGAGGCAUACAUCGCCUUCCUCUUUUUCGUGGGUGACAACGUAGGGCAACUUAUGCUACCACCUCAUACUUCCUACCGCUUGAUUCAAGAGAUCUUCGCACCUUUCCCGUCUCUUUUAGCCGGUGCCGGAUUAGCUAGUUGGCGUGGUAAAGGCACACCAAGGCAACGAUACGUAGCAGAUCUGGGAGGAUGAUCGGCCACACUGGAACUGAGACACGGUCCAGACUCCUACGGGAGGCAGCAGUAGGGAAUAUUGGGCAAAGGGCGAAAGCCUGAUGGAGCAAUGCCGCGUGAGUGAUGAAGGCCUUCGGAUCGUAAAGCUCUUUUAUUAGGGAAGAACAGAAGCGGAAGAAAACGCGGAUGUUCUGACGGUACCCAAACAGAAAGCAACGGCUAACUUCGUG
rnacentral:rRNA from 1 species